rnacentral:lncRNA from 1 species
GAGUGGUCACUACAUGCAAGGACAAAACAACCUUUGAGAAUCUAAUCAAGCAUCCAGCAUCACAAGGAGUAAAAGGCAGUGAGGAACUGGAUAACAGCUGGGAUGAGAAGAGAAGUUUUCUUGGAAGACUGCGUCAUUGGGAAAUUCGACCUGUUUUCAGCUAAGACUACAAGUUUGGUCCUUGUGAGGUCUGCCUCGGAGACUUUUGGGAAGUCUGAUCACAGAAGCUUCUGGAAGAGUAUAGUCCACUAACAUCUUGGAGAACUGAAGGUUAUUGAAGAACAGAGAGAAAGUGAGAGAGAGCAUAGGAUGUUGUCAGAGAAUCUAUAGGCCACAAAAAGGGGAAAGGAGGAAAAGCCCCAGGCUGAAAAUAUGGCAUGGUCAAGGGAACAAUAGCAGAGCUACCCCAGGGGUAAGUUAUGGAGAGGAAGCCCUGAGGCACUCCUGAUGAUCAUUAUAUCAUGGAACAGACCUUGAAAGAGCCCUGCUCCCAACUAUGGCCAAGUCUGUCCCUAAACAAGGACACUUCAUUUUGCAAUGACUAUCUGUGAUAGUUCACAGCCUCCUUAUGGACAUUGUAGUUAAAUGUCCGGAAGCCCUGAAGAGGCACAAGUGCCCAUCCCAUAAUGUUUCCUAAGCAUGUGGUUUCCAGGAUUGCUGAGAAAGACUCGGAAAGGUAAAAUGGAACCUACAGUAUUCCAUUUUCUCUUGUAGGAGCUUUUUCCUUGCAAGUAAACAAGACAGAACUGUCUUCCUACAAACUAACCCCAAUCUUUUGCAUCUUUGGUCCCAGCUACUCAUCUCUCUAGGAGCAGAGCUAAGAGACUUCUGUCACUCCUAGAACCCAUAAUUUCCUCUCUGUAUGCAUUAUUAUGGCAAAAAGCUUGCUGCUUAUGAAAGGAAGCCCAUCAAUUUUAUAGUCCGUACAAACCACCCAUCACUGACAUAGCAUCUUGAUGAAUGAUGCUGUGACUCCAUCUGUAUUAUUAAUUUUUCCUCACUCCAAGUGAGUUUUUAUGCUGUAUUCUAAGAAUGACAACUAUUCAGCAGGGACAGUAUUUGGGAGAGUCAUUAAGAGCACACUGCUGUGCUGACUCAAUAUGAACCUACAGCUCAAUGUCACCAUGGAACCACCUAGCUUAUCAUCCUCACCAUCUUGACAUAAUGAUAUCUACACAUUAAAGG